rnacentral:rRNA from 1 species
CAGCCGUAAACUAUGCGCGUUAGGUGUAUCGGUGACCACGAGUCGCCGAGGUGCCGAAGGGAAACCGUGAAACGUGCCGCCUGGGAAGUACGGUCGCAAGGCUGAAACUUAAAGGAUUGGGCGGGGGAGCACCACAACGGGUGGAGCCUGCGGUUUAAUUGGACUCAACGCCGGGAAGCUCACCGGAUAAGACAGCGGAAUGAUUGCCGGGCUGAAGACUCUGCAUGACUAGCUGAGAGGAGGUGCAUGGCGUAGACGUCU